GAUGAAGAACGUAGGGAAAUGCGAUAAGUAGUGUGAAUUGCAGAAGUACCGUGAAUCAUCGAAUCUUUGAACGCAAAUUGCACUCUCUGGUAUUCCGGGGAGUAUGCCUGUUUGAGGGUCGCUUAACAAACCAUCGAUUUCGUUGCUUUUUUUUUAAAGUGAUGUUUAUCGGAUUUGAGCCGUCUUUUUUUUUAUAUUUAAGUGGCUUAAAAUUGAUUUUUUUGGUACGAUCGAAGCGUAUUUUUAUGAUCAAUUUUUGGUUAAAGAAACGCACACGUACCGUUAUUUAUAUGAUGUAAUACGUUUGACUAUUGGAUUUAGUUCAUUCGUAUACGAUAUCUUUCAAUAUUUGACCUCAAAUCAGGUAAGAACACCCGCUGAACUUAAGCAUAUCAAUAAGCGAGGA
rnacentral:misc_RNA from 1 species